rnacentral:tRNA from 1 species
GCCGAUGUAGCUCAGUUGGUCAGAGCAACCGAUUUGUAAUCAGUCCCGACUAGUCGGGAUGGAUUUAAAUCCCUCCAUCGGCUCAA